UGCAGUACUGUAAAACUGGUUUUAGUGUCACGCGGACAGUUGGUAGGGAUCACUCCGCUUAGACCAAUCUGUAUGAAGCUUUAAGGAGGGUUUUAGAGUAAUGCGAACGAAUCUAUACGGACCCGUCCUCUUUACUCCUUAAAGCU